AGAGAAAAAUAACCUCGGGAAACUGAGGAUAAUGUUUCAUAAUUGAAUUGGCUUGGAAAAGUUUUUCAAUGAAAGGGAUAAAAAAAAUGGUUUUUAUCCGCUAUAGGAUAGGAUCGUGUUCGAUUAUGGUUGUUGGUGAGAUAAUGGCUCACCAAGCCGAUAAUCGAUAGGGGCCGUGAGAGCGGGAGCCCCGAGAUGGGUACUGAGACAACGACCCAGGCCUUACGAGGCGCAGCAGGCGCGGAACCUCCGCAAUACGCGAAAGUGUGACGGGGUUACCCAAAGUGUUCAAUAGAACUGUGGUAGGUGAGUAAUGUCCCCUACUAGAAAGGAGAGGGCAAGGCUGGUGCCAGCCGCCGCGGUAAAACCAGCUCUUCAAGUGGUCGGGAUAAUUAUUGGGCUUAAAGUGUCCGUAGCCGGUUUAGUAAGUUCCUGGUAAAAUCGGGUAGCUUAACUACCUGCAUGCUAGGAAUACUGCUAUACUAGAGGGCGGGAGAGGUCUGAGGUACUACAGGGGUAGGGGUGAAAUCUUAUAAUCCUUGUAGGACCACCAGUGGCGAAGGCGUCAGACUGGAACGCGCCUGACGGUGAGGGACGAAAGCCAGGGGAGCGAACCGGAUUAGAUACCCGGGUAGUCCUGGCCGUAAACGAUGCAUACUAGGUGAUGGUACGGCCAUGAGCCGUAUCAGUGCCGUAGGGAAACCGUUAAGUGUGCCGCCUGGGAAGUACGGUCGCAAGGCUAAAACUUAAA
rnacentral:rRNA from 1 species